rnacentral:rRNA from 1 species
GAUCAUGGCUCAGGAUGAACGCUAGCGGCAGGCCUCAUACAUGCAAGUCGAGGGGCAACAGGACACUUCGGUGUUGCUGGCGACCGGCGCACGGGUGCGUAACACGUAUGCAAUCUGCCUUGUACAGGAGAAUAGCUCUCGGAAACGAGAAUUAAUACUCCAUAUUGUCUCAUUAGCACAUGCUAGCGAGAUGAAAGCUCCGGCGGUACAAG